ensembl:lncRNA
CUUGGGGCCUAUGCCUGUCCAUGGGCUUAUGAGGCUAUUUGGGCUUAUGUCUUUCCCUUUAUCCUGGGGCAACAGGGGAAAUGACAUAGAGCUCCCAUCCCCUUGUCUAUAGUUCCCCUUGGAUUGCCCAACCUUGAACAAAUGAGGGUAGCUACAGGGGCCUGGGGAAUUGGGAAGAGCAGACGAUGAUAUAAAUAACCACCUACUUGCCUUUGGAAUGAAUCAUAUGGAUUUUCUUUUUAGCAUAUUUGCUGUCUUCAUUUGCCAUGAAAACACAUGUCCAUGCUCUGAACACAGCCCAGUGGACAAUGCGUGGCUGGAGGAAAACAUGAAGGUUUGUGGGGGCAGUGACCUUGGAAUGCUGCAUGGAGAGCACCUGGCACAGAGUCUGCCAGACCACAGGAGCUUGGGCAUCGUGGCCAUCCUCAGUAUGUUUAUUGAAGAGGGACAGAAACACGAAGGCAGGAAAGUUAGAGGGGAGGGAGGAACUGGCUGGGUUCAGGAUGUGCCUGUGGGACAGACAGUGCUAUGCACUGGCGCAAAGAUACCAUUUAAACCACCAAGGUUGACAUUGGGCCAGACACUUCAGUGCUUUCUAGAAGUGAGUAUUCAGAAGCUUGUGAGGUUCUGCAGAGCGGCGUGGCUUGAUUCAGCCAAGAUCCAAAUUCCCUGUUACAGCAGCUCCUUUGGUCUGAUUCACACAUUUCGUACCAGAGCAUUCACUUUCUCGCAGCAUUUAUUAAUUUCCUGGGGGUAUGCCUUUUUGCCUUCGUCAGCUCCUACAGGCCAGGAACUGGACGGUUGACACCUUGUCUUCCCCAACCUAGUGCUGUGCAAACAAUAAGUACUCAAUACAAACCUGUGGCUAAUUGAUAAUUGAUCUGUUGCAGCAGGGAGGGUGGAUGCCAGCUGUGGCUGUUUUGUCCUCAAUUUGGGUUCAUUUCCACCUUUAAAGAGCUUGUGCAUUAUUAUAUUAUCAUAUUAUGCAAACCAAAUAUCCUAAAAAGACAGAUAGUUAACAAACAGACUAGUAGAUUAGGGAUUGCCUAUGGGAUUCAUCUAAUCAACCAGCCUACUUAUCUGCCUGUGAUCAGGGCCCUGAGUCUUUAUCAUUCAGCCGAGUGAAGCAACAUACCAGGUUCCCAGAGGAGUAGAAUGGGAUUUCAAUUACAUAUCCAUUUUUUUAUCACUUCACUGAAAUAACAUGGGCUCCCUGGCUCUAAAUUGCUAAAAACCAGUUUAAGUUAAGGAGACAAAUAGACACUAAUUGCAGAGCAACGUGGAGUCCAAAGCAUCAAGGCACUUGGCCGAGAAAUGCCUUUCGUCACUCCUUCCAGUGCAAAGCUGGAAGAAAUGGAAAUUUCUUCUCCUGCUACUUGACUCUCAGUUACCCCUCGCCUGAGGAGGGUCGGAGUUUGGAGGGGUACAAAGGAGCCAUCUGGGGAGAGAAGUUUGGGCUCCUCAUUUAGCCCUGGCAAGCUAUUAACUUGAAGACCAUGGCAUCUGUUUCUUUUGUGUAAUAAUCUGUGCUGUUGUCUACAUUCUUAUGUAUUUAGAAGCAUCCCCUAAAUCUUUAAUCGGAACUGCAGCUUCCCAGUGAAAAGAGUAAUAACACACAGGCAUCAGGUGACCCGGCUAGGGCUAGCUCUGUGACCAACUGGUUGAGUGCCCUUGGACAAAUUACUUUAUGUUUCUGCUUCUGUUUCCUCUUCUGUACAGUGAAAUCCACUGGUAAAUAUUUAACCGGCUCUCCAGGAAGGAAAAGCCCUUAUUUGUAGCUUUUGCCAGUGUCCGUGGUGUAAAUACUCCCACCAUGGCUGAUUGCAAGCUGCCAAGCUGAUGUCACUGACUAUGGAACUGAGAAGAGAAGCCCACAGUCAGCUCUCAUAAGCCAGCAUGAGAUCUCACCCAUCACCAAAUCUAAUGAUAAUGGGAAGGUUGUAAGGGGGACAUGCACUCUCUCUGCCUGUCUAGGUACAUCUAGAUCUCUAGUUCUUAAAACUCAAAUUUGAUGGCAGGCAAGAAGAAAAACAGCCAGCUUUUGCCCAUCUCAGAGGUGGGGUAAGAAGAAAGGAAACAGCAUUUUCAAUGCGAGAUAAAAAUAGAAUGCAGAAUUUUGAUGAUUCUUUAUAUCAGUAUUUAAUGAAUAUGUGAUAGCAUUUAUUAAUAAAAUGUAAUAAUCAUAUUCA